rnacentral:lncRNA from 1 species
AGGAGGCUGCUUUUCUUGCUGGCUGACUCUUAAAAAUCUGGAGCUGGAAGGCAACUCGAGGUCUUACCAAGGCCGCCCCUUUGCACUGCUCCACGGCAGUGCCCCUAAGCCUUCCCUGAUGACGCGUGUCUCACUUUUGGCGUUAACACCUCGUUACUCCUGUGUCACCUCUGCAGACACCGAACGGGCAGUGGAAAUUCUGACCAGAUACCAGAGCACCUUGAGGUCUCCGGAGGAGCAGGAGCUGAAAGCCUCCAUCGGAAAGGUCUCGCACAUCUUCCAAAGCGAGCUCUUCCAAGCUCUUCUGGAUAUCCACGAGUUCUACGAGCUGACGCUGCGCGCGGCUCCGGCCCCGGCCCCCGGCACCGCCAGGCAGCAGC